GGUGUCCGCCCGCCCUCGGCUCCGCCGCCGUGAUGCUGUCCCGGUCCCGCUGUGUAUCCCGGGCGUUCAGCCGCUCGCUCUCCGCCUUCCAGAAGGGGAACUGCCCUCUAGGGAGACGUUCCCUGCCUGGGGUCUCCUUAUGCCAGGGACCAGGUUACCCUAACAGCAGGAAGGUUGUCAUUAACAACAGUGUCUUCAGUGUUCGCUUUUUCAGAACUACAGCUGUAUGCAAGGAUGACUUGGUUACAGUCAAAACCCCAGCGUUUGCAGAAUCCGUCACAGAGGGAGAUGUCAGGUGGGAGAAAGCUGUUGGAGACACAGUUGCAGAAGAUGAAGUGGUUUGUGAGAUUGAAACUGACAAGACAUCUGUGCAGGUUCCAUCACCAGCAAAUGGCGUGAUUGAAGCUCUUUUGGUACCUGAUGGGGGAAAAGUCGAAGGAGGCACUCCACUUUUCACACUCAGGAAAACUGGUGGUAAAGAAGUUCUCCUGGUGGUCAAGGUCUCCAGUGUUCCCUCUUGGGAUUGGGACUGAGCAUAAUAUGCUAAUUCCCCGAUAUGUCAAAGACUCUGUCAUUCCAGCUGCCCUUAGUUGAGGGAAUAAGGGGUAAAUUUAUAUAUAGUGUGAACUUUAAAUGUCAAAUUCUAAAAGAAAAGUUUAUUUUUUAAAAAAUAAACCUUAUACUCUGAAAUGCUUCAAAACUUUUUGAGCACUGACAUAAUGCUCAAAGGAAAUGCUCAUUGUCUUUUAUGGGGAAUUCAGUGUUGUUUCUUUUCACAUCUAUUCUCUCAUAUCUUUAGGAAGGGUUGGUAUUUCUUUUGGGAAGAAAUGAGAAACGAAUUUGUACUGGACCUGAUAGGAUUAGAGAUUAAUAACUUUAUCUGACUCUUAGUUAAAUUUUAUAACCACUAAAAAGUCUAUUUCUUUUUCCUAAGCGAGAAUCGUACCCGUAGACCAACGAGUCACAAAAGUCUAUUUCUUUUUCAUUGUUACACUAAUAAGGCAGAUAGACCGCAUGACUGAGGUUAGUCAGGCAAGACCAGAAGCUCAGAGUAGAAAACAUGUAUGGUGGAAGGCUGGGAAAUAAGGAUAGUCCUCCUGUUGCAGAAGUUUGUCUGAGCACUAACCCUGGAUAUAAUGUCCAGAUGGGUGAAAAACAGAAACAAACAUUUCAUUUAAAGUUGUGAGAUUAUUACUUGGCCACCUCAGUGAUUUAUGAGUCAUCCUGGAUGAAGCGC
rnacentral:sRNA from 1 species